GUCCACGCCCUAAACGAUGCCAACUAGUUGUUGGGGAAGGAGACUUCCUUAGUAACGAAGCUAACGCGUGAAGUUGGCCGCCUGGGGAGUACGGUCGCAAGAUUAAAACUCAAAGGAAUUGACGGGGACCCGCACAAGCGGUGGAUGAUGUGGAUUAAUUCGAUGCAACGCGAAAACCUUACCUACCCUUGACAUGCCAGGAACUCUGCUGAGAGGUGGAGGUGCCCGAAAGGGAGCCUGGACACAGGUGCUGCAUGGCUGUCGU
rnacentral:rRNA from 1 species